ACCUUCUUGUGGAUGCCGAUUGGGAUUGUCCUCUCCAUCCUUCGUGUUUACCUCAACAUUCCCCUGCCCGAAAGAAUUGUUCGGUACAACUACAUGAUUCUGGGAAUCAAACUCGUUGUGAAGGGCAACCCACCCCCACCUCCGAAGGAAGGCCAUAGCGGGGUCCUAUUCGUCUGCAACCACCGCACGAUCCUAGACCCCGUUGUUACGGCGGUGGCACUGAGAAGGAAGAUCAGUUGCGUGACAUACAGCAUAAGUAAAUUCUCAGAACUGAUUUCACCGAUCAAAGCCGUGGCAUUAUCUCGAGAACGAGAAAGGGAUGCAGAGAACAUCAAGCGUUUGCUUCAAGAAGGUGACUUGGUUAUCUGCCCCGAGGGGACUACGUGCAGGGAGCCAUUUCUGUUGAGAUUUAGCGCACUCUUUGCCGAGUUGACAGACAGAAUUGUCCCCGUCGCCAUUAACACUAAACAGUCCGUAUUUUAUGGGACAACUGUGCGUGGGCACAAGUUUUUGGAUCCCUACUUCGUUUUCAUGAAUCCCAGGCCCACCUACGAGAUCACCUUCUUGAAUCAACUGCCCCCGGAACUGACUCGCCGAGGUGGUGGAAAAUCUGCUAUUGAAGUUGCCAACUACAUCCAAAGGGUGCUCGCCGGCACGCUAGGCUUCGAGUGCACUAGCUUGACCAGGAAAGACAAGUAUGCCAUGAUGGCCGGAACAGAUGGCCGUGUUGAAAACAAGGAGGACAAUUCCCAUGAAAAGAAAUGAGCAGUCCUGAGUCCUCCAUUUGUUUCCCCAAGUAGUAUAAUGUUUUCGAACCUUUUUCGUCGUAUUCAAGCAAAAGAGGGGAAAAGAAAAACGAGAACAAAAUAAUUGUUGAUCGUUAUGAUUAAGAUCUUCAUAUGGUAUAACGCACCACGUAUAUGCUUUCUGGAUUACAUUACAUGCAUAAAGUCUACGUCCCAGUCUUGCUUAGCAUGCAGUGCCUUAGACUUCUUCAUAUCCUUUUUGUCAUAUUAUAUUGGAUUAAAAACAAAAAAAUUCCAUGUGAUAUAUCUAAUAUACAGAAAAAUCUCCUAUAGUUUCAAAACAUACAAAACGAUAUCUCAUGUUUGAACUAAAUUGUAAACUAAUAGAAUUCGUUAAACUUAACGAAAAUGACGGUCUCGACUGUUAAACUUGUCGGAUUUCGUUAAGUUUACCAGAUUCCAUUAAGUUUUUCAUUAAAUUUAUCGGAUUCCGUUAAAACUAACGAAUUCUGUUAGUUUACAAUUUAAUUCAAAACAUAAAGUGUCGUUUUGUAUGUUUUGAAACCACGGGGGCUUUUCUGUAUAUUAGAUAUACCACAAGGGAUAUUUUUUUUUUUAUUUUUAACCCUAUUAUGUUAAGAAAAAGGGGGAAGAAACAACGGGAAUUAUCUAGUCAUGCAAAAAAAAAAUUAUUUUUUUUCAUCAAGCUGCAGAUUUUCAAUGUUUUUAACUACUUCAACUGUGCCCCAAAAGGACAAAAAAAAAAAAAAAAAAAAAAACUUCCAGCGUACAAAUUAAAUGAUACUAUUGUUAUGGCCAUUUGACAGUUGUAUGGUGCGUGAAUCACAUGGAAGCAAUUAAUAACGGAGGAAGUCUCAUGGUCAUUGGUCUUUUUUUAGUACAAUUUACGCCAUAAAGCUUCUCGGGUAGAGUUAGACUGGGGAUGUAAUCUCAAGUCAAUGGUUUUCCAUGGCAAGCGUGUUUCGAGUGAUUUAGAAAUCGUGAUUUGAGGGCAUUCAUUGAUUGCCAUCUUAGGAUCUCCUGUAACUUAUUCGAGAAAUAAUUGAAAAAAAGAAAAAAAGAAAGAGAAUUGUUGAGGUUUCUUCUUUACCAAAUGCAAAUCGAGUUAUUUGCAAAUAUAGAUUUGAGGGUAUAUUCAUCUUUAUAGUCAAAGAUUAAAAGAUUCCGGCAACUAGAAAAUUAGAGAGAGGGAGAGGGUUUCUUGUUCAGCCAUGUGCAUCUGAAUCUUAUUAUCGAAUGAUCAUUUUCUAAAUUGAAAACAAAAGAAACUCAAUGCUCGUUGAAAAAGGAUAUUUUACAAGCAAUAUCAUUUUGUUUCAUAACCUAAAGAGGGAAACUUUUUUUUUUUUUUUUUUUUUAAAAAAAACACAUUGACAAUUAAUACUGCGUUUUGACUUAGGAGAGACGCUAUUCUUACCUGAUUAUACCAACUGAUGACAAUUCUCAAUGUCUGAACCACAUUUGCGGCGUGCUAAUUGUGGGUUAAAAAAAAUUAAAGAUUUGUCGAGUUCUGGGCCUUCUAGCCCAGCUUCAGGAUAAAGACUCCCCCUCAGACGACAGCUGUACUGGUUGCAUUUGUCAGUCGUCCUACACUAACUAAUGGAAGUCUCCUUUAGGAAAUAGCUAAGUUAAAGAUAGCCACGUGCAAAAUUGUACCGGCUCUUGUGCUUUUUUAGGUUUUUGUUUUUUUCUUUUACCGCGCAGGUGAAAAAUUUCAAAUUCAGAACUUGUUACUUACGUUCUCUCUCGUCUCGUAUCAUGUAAUUUAUUCCUUCUUACUCUAUUGUGCUUCUUAUUUGUUUCUCACGUUCCUUUUUUUUUUUUUUUAAUUUAGGUUAUGAAUAAUGUUAAUCCAUCCAGUUAAAAUUUCUAUUUUUGCUUAAAAUGGUAACCGCAAUGGUGAUCUGUUUUUGUAUAGGUGGCAUGUCUCUAUUUUUGGAUUUAAGAAGAAUAUGAGUCGAUCCAUCCCUCGAUCGAUAGAGAGAGUCUAGACGUAGAGCAAAUUGUACGUUUUCAUCUUAAUUCGAUUUAUUCAAAGGACUAAAAUGGGUCCGCAAAAUCACACCUUACCAGAUGAAUGAAGCAUCGCCUUCCUUUACAACUUGCACAGCCGUUCAAAUGCGAAGACACUCAGGGGACAAAAUCUUUGGAAUGUAUAAUGGGCCUAUUGGCAUCCAAAUGCCCAAAGAACAUACGCUGACGAAUGUUGAGACUUGAGAUGCUCAGGGGAGUUUCGGUUUAACAACCACCUGCUGAGUUGCUCUUUGGAUUGAAGCCCAAAUUAUAUCACUUCAUAGCCCAAUAUUAUCGAUUCUAUCAUUUUGCUUGAUUGCACCUUCUUCAAAGUUUCACUUUCAAAGUUGCACCUUAGUUUUUUUUUUUAAUUGGUAGAUAAAAGUUUGGAUAAAUUCGACUUCGAUUAUACAGAUGGUCUAUUAAAUCAGCAGCAGUGUGAUUCUUCAAACACAUAACCUUUUCCUGCUUUUUUUUUUUUUUUUUUGUAAAGUAGUUUUCAAGUGAGAAAGGAAAAGGCACAAUUUUUUUUUUUUAUUUCUCAAAAUAAAGGGACAGGAGGAAAUACUCCCUAAACUUUAACUAUCUUUUGGCAACCAAGUUUUAGAAUUCGGUUGAUGUAAAAACACUUGACGAAAGUCUUGGUGUGUUUAUCACAUCUUUACCACCAAUUCUUAAGGUUAAGAUGAUCUUCGAAGUAUCAUGCUAGCGAAUUUUAGACUCCUGAUUUAGGGAUAAUUUCAGAUACAUCCUUUAAAGGUUUCAAAAAUUACACCGACCUCCUUUUAUUUUGUAUUUUUGAUAACUAUUCAGUCCAAUGGCCAUUAAAAUAGUAUUUUCAUCGAGUGAGAUGGUAUUUCUAUUCCACAAAAUAAUAUAAAAUAAUCAUACCUUGUUCAGGAGCUGGGAAGUUUUGGUGUAAUCAGAGUUCAUAGUGUCAACGUGGGAAGUGGUCAACCGACAGAGUUGACGUACGUUACGGAAUGAGACGAAAAUCGGGUGAUAGUGAUACAGAACCAUCGCUUUCGUGAAACACUCCCAUUUUAAUUUAAGGAUUAUCAUUAGGUCCUGCGAACAAGGUUGACUUUGGCCAUCGUAACUUGAUUCUCUCAAUCUUCGACUCAGCGAAUAAACCUGUGUGCAUAAAUCUGGACUAGUUGACAUUCGAUGCUACAUGUAGCUCGGCGGCUUCGCAACCGGGGUUUACCUCUACCUAAUGCUUAUUCGCAGCUGCUCAGAAACUGGAUGUUAAAUGCAAAGAGAAUGUGCCAAUAAUUAUUUUAUGGAAAUAGUCAAUCCCCAUCUUAUUCUUAUUGAGCUUUGACAAGUUGGUCACUGAGAUUUCCGCUUGAAUUACAGCUAAGUUUCUUAUGCAUUUCUUAUUGAGUUUUUUUUUUUUUCCAUUUUUUCCCUACCUCCUAGCUUCCAGGUCAAUGGCCUUCCUUUUAGUUUAUAGAAAUCUUGUCCCAGAGUUGCAGAGUUGGACUUUGCUCAAGUUUCAAACUCAGAAAACACGUACAUGGGGUUGUCUUUUAAGCAGGCUGGCACUAUACUCGGUCAACUAACUAGAUAUUUAUUUACAUAGCUAGAAGCCAAUUUCUUGUUCUCACAUUGCAGCUGCAUCUUUCCCCCUCGUCCCUUUCUCUCUUUAUCUGUAGAUAUAUAUUGCUUUUCAUUUUCUACAUUUGUUUUGCAUUUAUUUGCAUUCCCCUGGGGCAACGAACAGUUCACCUGAAACGAUGUUCACGAGAAUCCAAAGUAAUUAUGCUUUUCCCUUUGACUAUUAAUCUGCUGAUUUUGCUAAUUUUUCAUUUCGCUGCAAAGAUUCCUCUAUUUCCCUAGUUCUUUGGUAAAAGAGUUUUCAUUAUUAUUUGGGAAUGAGCAUCCAUAAAGCACCGGUUUUAGCCAUUCCACCUCCCUUUUUUUCCUGUUUCUCUUUACUAAAUUGGGGAUGCUAUGUUGAGAUUAAGAGACAUUGUUUUGUCUGAAUGAUGGUGUUAAAUCCACUGAUCAGAAGUGUUUUGAAUCUUGUAGCUCUGGCAUGGGCAGACAUAUUAAUUGCGUACGCCAUGUGGAUGCUCAUGAUCUAUUUAACAGAUGUAUGGAAGCUUGCUUUCACAUACUCUGCUGGCAUUAUCAAUGUAUACAUGGGUCUAACUGGCAUUAUGCCCCUAUUUAUGCAAUUCAUUGCCGAUACAGUAAUGGGGAACUAUUGGAUGCUCCUGUUUUCCUCUCUUGCAUAUUGCGCGGUAUUUCCUCUUCCGGAUUCUUCUUUAUUUACCUUGACAGUAUUCUGAUCAGAAGCGUUGCAGAUGUCUUCAUUUGUGCUAUUACUGUUGCUGUAGAUUGAGCUAUGUAUUUGCAUCUUUACUUGGAUUAUUAUUGAAGAUUAAACUGAAGCCUGAGUGAAUACAAUAUUAAACUUUGCCGCAUGCUAGGUUGAUAAGAAACUAGAAACUACUCGAGGAUGGCUUGAAUGAAUGCAGGUCAGACUUUUGCUAUUUUCGUGCUGUCUCGCCACAAAUUCAGGAUAAUCAGGUUGAUAAGAAACUAGAAACUACUCGAGGAUGGCUUGAAUGGAUUUUUAGUCUUAGUAGUCCGGGACAAUCAGGAUAAGCAUGCUAUUACGUCAAGAGUUAAUGGAAAUAGCUUGUUGAAAACAAUGUAUCUCUUGACGACUUGUGAACGUACCGGAUCUUGAAUUACUCCUACAUCACACUGAUUAAAUACUCAUUAUAUCAAUUUGCAAAAUUGGUGAUUGCAUCUUUAAACACUCCAAAUCUUUUGCACUUUUUACCUUGCAAAACCCUUCGUCUUUACAUUGUAUAUGUUCCCCCGCAAGCUAUAUAUGAUUCUGUUUCCAUCUGACCUGUCACGAGUAAAUAGUCUAUUUUUCUUGUUAAGCAAGAAGAACACCUGACAAGAAAAUAAAAGCCCUCUUCUAACACUUAUUCUGUGAGCAGGGAAUGGGCUUCUUGACAAUGUCAACACCACCCGUACUUUCUAAGCUUACCGGAACAUGUGGUUCCUAUGAGCCUGAAUGCAUUGGUGACACUCAACAUAUACUCUUUUACGCUGCACUAGCUCUAAUAGCUGUGGGAACAGCUGGACAUGUGACUUCUUUAGCUAGUUUCCUUGGUGAACAAUUAAUGGAUGCCAUUGAGAAUAUCUCCACCAGAUCAAUCAUCUCUGCUUAUAUUGGAAAUAUUGUAACAUUUUUUGUCAGCGUGGUUGCAGUUCUUGGAUUACCAUAUAUAAAGCCAUGGUCACUUCAUUUUGGGAUUCCAACCAUAUGUAUCCUGGUUGCAACAAUAAUAUUCCUUAGCGGAUCUCGUACAUAUGCAUAUGUUGGACCCCAAGGUAGCCAUCUAACAAUGGUGCUUAGGGUCCUUGUAGCUGCUGCAUCCAAGUUAUUCAGAAGACACCCAGCGGAUAGAUAUCAGCUCCAUGGAAUGAGUGAUUGUCCUCUCCCUCGCACACGUUUUCUCAGGUUUUGGCCUCUUGUCCUUGUCCAUUUGUUAACUCUUCAUGAUAAAAUAUUUACUCUAUACCAUGAUUGCAUUGUCAAGUGCAAAAGGUAUUAAUGAAACCAAAAAAAAAAAAGGAAUAAGCACUUAUCCUCUUUCAUUCCUAAUGUUGAGGUUACUACCAAAAAGAAUAAGAAAAAUGAUGAUAUGUUUCACAUAAAAGUGAAGAUUAUUGAUAUCAGAGAUCCUCAAUAAUGGCUGAUUUAGUUUCAUAUCUUUUUUGGUUUCUUUCAUGUUUUUAAGCUUUUAGAAAGUAAAAAAGCCAGCAACCAAAUUGAUGGUUUAGUCGAUUGUUCUUUAGCAAGUUGCCUGUUUUGAUGUUACCACCAUGUUCAAGUCAGUGCAGAAAACGGCAUUUUGGCUGUGAAAUCUGAUCCAAAAAGUUUGUUUACUUUUGCCUUUUAAGAAUGAUAGCACAUGGAAAUUGCAUUGUUAAGCUAUCAAUUUAGAUAGCUUUUCCUCACAUGCAUGGCUUCCUGAGAUGCAGGUGCCUAGACAAGGCUGCGCUUGUACUGCCGGAUCAGUCAUUGGAACAACAACAAAAUAAUAGAUGGAGGCUUUGCACCGUCACAGAAGUCGAAGCUACCAAACUCAUAAUAGACUUGAUUCCGAUGGCAAUAUCUUUUAUUUUUUUGGGUUUGCUGUCUUCACUAGGGUAUACCUACUUUAUUGAGCAAGCAAAAAAUAUGAACCACAAGGUUGGAAGCCUUACAAUACCAUUAACAAUCUUUUUUUGGUUCUAUAUUCAAGCAAAAAUGUAUUUUCCAGCAUUGUACUUCGGUGUUUCCGGGUUGUUUUGUGGAUUUAAUACUCGAACUGUGGCUCCCGUAAUUGGAAUUAUGGUAUCAAUGGUACUAGGUGCACUAUGCUGUGUUACUGCUGCAAAGGUCGAAUCCCAUAGGCUUCAUGUGGUUAAAAGCCAUGGUUUACUGGAUAAGCCCGAUGAGAGAAUUCCUUUGUCCGUCUUCUGGUUACUUCCUCAGUUUAUCCUCCUUGGUGCUGUAGAGGGCAUGUUUGAAAUCAGUGCAGCUGCUUUCUUCGAUCUUUAUUUCACUCCCGCCUUGAACAGGUACAUGCUCCUUUUUGGCUGUGUUGUGCAUGGGCUGGGAUGCAUAGGCAGUAUACUUUCGGUCUACGCAGUGGGUAAGGUGAGUGAAAGGGGAGGAAUGCCGAGUUGGUUCCAGGAUACCCUCAAUAAGAGUAGGCUCGAUAAUUACUACUGGUUUCUGUGCUGCCUCUGCGCCAUAAACCUCGUCAUGUAUGUGGUAAUGAGGUUUUGGUAUGCCUGGAGGAGUACAGAUGCACAAGACCAAGAUGAUUCCGAGGAUUCUAGUUGUUGUUGCUGCUGUUGUUAGAUGAUUGAUUGUAUGUACUGUACUAUAUUCGUUUGAAGACUUUUUUCGUUCUUGCUCUCUGUUCUCUUGCUCUUGCUUCCUGCGUAAAAAAAAAAAAAAAAAAAAGAGUAAAUCCUAUACACUGACAAUGUAUACAUAAUCACCGUUUGAUUUAUUACAUAUGUGCAAAAGCUGAAUUUUAAAUUCAAAUUUUGCAUAAUUAUCAUUCAUUUAACACUGAUAAUGUAUAUAUUAUUGUCAGCGUAGAAAAAAUUAAUCCAAAAAAAAAAGUUAAAUGGAAUAGGACUUUUCUUUUCUUUUUUUUUCCAAUUUCUUUGCUUCCAGGCCCCAGCUCCGGAGCAGGUUUAAAAAAAAAAAAGGUAAAUGGAAUAGGCGGCCCAUUGGGUAAUGAACUGGAGCCCAACAACAAUUAAAAACGGGCCAUUCAAAUUACAAUUCUGACGUUGUGCGGGUUAAUUAGUGCAUGGAAAUUAUAACCAAGACCUCAAAAAGGAAUUUUUUUUAAAAUAAUUUUAAUUGGGAAAAAGCCCAAUUAGAGGCAAGUCUGGUCCUCGCACUCGCAUCUGUACCGCCAACCAAAAUCUCCUUAGGACGCCGGCCUCUGGGUCUCCCUAACCGCCGUUGUUUCGCCCCUCUCUGGUGUCCCCAACCAGCCGAGGGAAUCCACCUAUCUACCAGUUUAUUUCCACAGAACAAGCAGGAGUUUUCCCUUUUUCUUUCCUUUUUUCUGAGAAAUGGGAAAGGCUUCAAGAGAUAAACGGGUUUUGAUCUCCUGACUUGCUAGAUUUUGCUUCUCUUUUUUUUUUUGGUUGGCUACAUUGAGCAUGUAGCAGUAUCGUCCCUUUCCCUAUUUGAUCUCUCACUCACUCACAGGAUAUCUACUAUCGGAAAGCGAAGGAGGAAGGAUGGCGUGCUCGAAGUGCCUUCAAGCUCCUCCAGAUUGAUGAAGAAUUCAACAUUUUUGAAGGUUCUGCUGUUGCUGCUGCAUCUUCAAGUUUAAUGUCAGAGCAAGACUGCCUUUCUCAUAAUCAUCAAUUGCUGAUAAUUUUUUUUUUUUUUUAAAUUCCUUGUAGGAGUGAGGCGUGUGGUUGAUUUAUGUGCAGCUCCUGGUAGCUGGAGUCAGGUAUUGGUUGCUUAUUCAUUGUUUCUAGAAAAGUAGAUGAUUAGGUCAGUUCCUGCAUAUAAAUACACAUAACACCACACUGUGGUUUUAUCUAUCUUCCGUUAAGUUAGAUUUUUAUACCUGCAAAAAGGUUUGUUUCACUCAACCCUAUGUAAAUGUUUUUCGAUCUUUAUAGGAUAACUAAUUAAAUGUGAAUAAGAAUCUGUAAUCAGAGAUAUAAUAGAUCUCAUUUCAGUAGUUAGUUGCAUUUUGCUUCCCACAAGCAAAUUAUACUGAAUGGUUGGAGUCAGCGUCACUUCUGGAGUUCAUAAUAUUACUUCCUGUAAUAUCGGCUCUAUUCUUUUAACCUUGUUGACAUUGUUUUAACCUGGAAAGCUUUUGUUGCUUCUUGCUGGACCACGAUUAUACAUGUUACAUACCCUUAAAUGAAAUGAAGAUAGGAGAAAUUGACUACAUGGGAGACAAAAUAGAUUUCUAAGCAGAGUAUAUUUUCGCCUUAAUCUUCAAUUGAUUGCUGAUGCGCCAUUCUCUUAUGUUUCAGUUGUUUUCUAUCUUCUGCACAGGUUUUGAGUCGCAAAUUGUACCUCCCUGUCAAGCUGGAUCCUAAUGCAAAGUAUGUGUGCUUGUUUAGUUCCCUCUAGUAUAGCUGCCAUGACCGCUGCCUCCCACAACUUCACUUUUGAUGUUCUGUCUUAACAUAUUUUUCUGAGAAUCAUGUUAAAACCUGUAUUGCUAGUUUGCUACCAACCGUCAAUUUUCCUUCAUUUAUUCAUGCUGUACAUUGGUGUUGUUUUAUUACAAAUUUAUCUCCCUUAACAAAGUUUUCCUUCAUUUUCAAGUUGUUUUUUUAUAAAUCUAUUUUACAAAAGACUUGAGUUUUCUAAUGGCCCAUAAUCUUGGCAAUCUAUAUCUUGAUGCUUCUGAGCUAUUUGAAUAUUAGCUGUUGAUUAAUUUUUCAGACUUGCAUACUUGGAAGGAAGGCAGCUGAUGAAAUAGGAAAGAUCUUAUCUGUUGUUUUUUGCAUUAUUGGCAGUAUUGCAUUGGGAUCACAUGGAAUUUGAAAGACUGCAUUAUUUAGUUCAAGGAAUAUGAACAAUUAAAUUUGCAGAUUAUAGAGAUAGAGAAUGUUAUGUGUAGGAGUAGAAUCUAAUCACAGAUUUGCUAGCUUCAAACUGCCUGUGGCGUAAAGUAUUUUACUUUUUGCUUAAUUUUCUGUAUGAGCUUUCGUUAGCAUUUUCCCAGUUAUGGUGCUUCCCUGCUGCAUAUUAACCAUAUUCAAGUUAUAAUUGGUAGGGAUAGCGACCUUCCACUUAUUGUGGCAAUUGAUUUGCAGCCUAUGGCUCCAAUCGAGGGUGUUAUUCAAGUUCAGGGUGAUAUAACAAAUGCAAGAACAGCUGAAGUGGUAUAAUUUUGUGCACUGGCUUCUUAUCUUGUGUAUGUUUGACCAUUGAUUGAAAAUGAUAUCUGAACAUGCCAAGAAAGUCCACAUCUUGUCAUUACAGAUCUCCUCUUUGAUCUCCUUCCGACAGUGUUAAGUUCAGAGUCUUCUCAAGUAAAUACACCUGUGACCUGGAUUAAUAUUCUAAUCCUCUGUCCACCCCUUUCUGGUUGUGUUAACUUCACAGUUGUCUUAAAUAAAUGUGUUUUUAUAAUUUUAAUUGAAUAGAGAGUCAAUUUUUUCUUGCUUGCUGUCAUUGUCCAUUCACGGCAAGAUGUGUUUAUUCAGUCUCUUUGAAUGCUAGCAUCUGAUCCUUUGUUAUAUUAUUUAUGAAGAGAGUUAAGGUAGGCAGGCAUCACCAACAACAUUUAUUUUUUCUCUUUAGGUUAUCAGACAUUUUGAUGGAUGCAAAGCUGACCUGGUUGUCUGUGAUGGUGCCCCUGAUGGUGAGCAUAAAAAAGCAAUUUUAACUUGUGGGCUGCUGUCUUCUUUGCUAUGUCGUGUAUUGUCAUAUAUCUAAGUGUUCUGUUUCAUAUGUUGCAGUUACUGGUCUUCACGACAUGGAUGAAUUCGUUCAGUCUCAACUCAUACUUGCAGUUAGUCUUGAAUUGCUUUUCCAGACUAUGGAUCUUUACUUUUAUCCUUACUGAAAAAUUUUGAAACUUUGGUUUGUUGUAUUACUAUACUAACAAUUAGUUGUUUUGACCAUUAUUUGUGGAUAUUUGCAGAUGCUUUUCUCUUUUUCUUUUGUUUCUCACUUUGUGUUCACAGUGACAACAAGAGGUGUCAAAACUUGUUUGCAGGGUCUGACAAUUGUAACCCACAUACUGAAGGAAGGUGGAAAGUUCAUUGCCAAGAUAUUUCGAGGAAAGGACACAAGCCUGCUCUAUUGUCAGUUAAAACUUUUUUUCACUGAAGUGACCUUUGCAAAACCAAAAAGUAGCCGGAACUCAAGUAUAGGUAGAUAUUUAACUUUGUUCUUUUGUAUUUCUUUGAUAUUCUGUAUCAGCAUGUACCACCAUAGAGUUAUGAUCACUGUUGGUGAGAGCAGAUAACUUUCAAAUAUUUUGUGAAAAUAUCGUCACAAGCUUUAUAGACAAUAUAAGCUGUAGCUUGAUAAACUAUACCAUUUGGUUAGAAUUUCAAACAGUUAGCCUUCCAAUAUAUGUUCUCUGGCAAACAUUCGUGCUGUCAACUUUUAUGGUCCUUGUGAUUUUUUGGGACCUUUCAUUAUGUGGGUUUUGUCAUGUAUCUUAAGAUUUGGUGGUUUAUCAGUUAUUAAGUGUUGUCCAAGCAAUCAACGGUUACAGGGAAGGUAGUAUUUAUGAGGUUAAAUUCACAAGACAAAAGCUGUGUGAAGAAAAGAACUGAAUUGUGCUUGUGUUUGGUUGAACGCAGAGGCAUUUGCUGUUUGUGAGAAUUACUCUCCUCCUGAAGGAUUUAAUGAGAAGGAUCUGCAUCGCCUCCUUGAAAAGGUUGGGAGUCCAUCUGGUGCGGAUGAUCUAGGUAAUCAUGACUUGAUUAACAUAACCAUUUUUGCUUACUAUUCUGUCUGUGUACAUGUACUUGAGCUGUUACAGAGCUCCUGUAUCAAAUCAAUUGCUCAAAAUGAAAAAAAAAAAAAAAAAGAGUAUAUAAUCAAUUGGCUUGGCCAUUUGUGUGCACUUGGGCAUUUGUGGAUCUGUGUGUGUGGGAGUGAAUAUUUUCGUCUUGUUCUUUUCCAUAUGUUGCUGCUAGUUUUGUUACUCUAAAUGUAGUUGGGGUGCUUUUAACUGAAAGCGGGCUGAAGGACGUUAUUCCUUGUGGCAAACUCUCUAUUGUUUCAGGAAUAGUAGAUGCCUCCUUAAACAUCCCCUUGUCUCGGCCCUAGAUGGAAAUGCUGGUUGCAAAUGCGAUUUUGUGGGUAUUACAGAUUCUUUUAUUAAUGCAUGUUGCUUUACAGAUUGCAGCAGUGGAUGGUUGGAAGGUCCAAACAAGGUGUACAUCCCGUUUCUGGCAUGUGGAGACCUAAAUGGGUACGACUCGGAUCGUUCUUAUCCACUUCCCAAAGUUGCAGAUGGAAAGUAUCGGAGUUUGGAUCCUGUACAACCUCCCAUAGCACCACCAUACAAGAGAGCGCUUGACAUGAAGAAAGCUUUAAGUCAGGGAAUUCGAGACAUGGAGAAACUCAACGUGAUGCAUGACUGUUAAACUCAAACUUGUUUAACAAGUAGGUUAUAGGAAUUUACGGAAUUCUUGUGUAAGCUCAAUUUUUUUGCCCCCCUCCCAAAAAAAAAGUACUGUUUUGAUCUGGAGAUGUGUCUACUGCAGCGAGAUAAUUGAAGACUUCUGUUGGAAAUUAUACGUAUUCCUGCUUCAGAGUCUAAACAAAAGUCAGUAAGAUGCGCAUCGGUUUGAGAUUGUUUAUCGAGGUAUUGGCAAGUAUGGUGGUAGUGGGUAAAUGGUGAAAUAUGGGUUUGUUUAGUUCUUCUCCCUUUUUAAUUUUGACUGGCUGCGGAUGAUUUAUUUGAUUAUUUCUUUUUCUUCUGCUGGGUCGGGACUCAGAAGGUUGAUUCGAUUUUCCAGUUUAACUUUUCAAUAGCUAAAACUAAUAAUUUAAUACCACCAGUGAUACGUCAAUUUUUAACCGGACCAGAUUUGUCAUCGUCAGUGGGCUGCCGCAUUUCCCAGAAUGGAUUUGUAAAUUGCAGUCUUGACCUUUACUGAAGGCAUCCUACAACUAAAGAGUAACGAGGAACAUAGCGAAGAUUAACCGACGUACCAGCCGUGGGAUAGGCAAUUGCAGCAAUCGAGUGAUUCCUUUUCCUUUUGGGAUGAAUAUAUGGAGGAUAUGUGUCUGGGCAACUGGACUAAAUUAUUGCUGAAUAUGAGACAGCUUAGGGGACUCCUGAGAAAGUUGCUCCGGAGGAAUGUUUGCAUUCCCCACCGGAUGCAAAUAUUCAUCAAAGCUGCCUAGAUACAAAUUAGAUGCUCGGUGCCACUUAAUCAGCGUCAGCUCAUUAGGUGUCACUCUUUCAUUCGAUGAAAGUGUUCAAUUAAUUUAAGUUGAAAUUAAAUAUUACGUGAUAAUUUAAAUUAAUUAGAUACUUAAUAUAAUUUUACGAGCGGCACUGAGUUACCACUAAGAAGAAAAUGGAGGAUCUCAAUUGGCCUAGAUAUGGGGUUUAUCCGUACAUUUAAGGUGAAAGAUGAACAAAUAAGCAUUAAAAUCUGGGAAAAGGUUUCAUCAAAGACGAAGAAUUUAUAAGACAAAAGCAGAGGAAAGUUCGCCUGAUGACAAUCAUGGUUUUCAGUAAAUGCACGUAUGUAUCUGACAAAUAUAUCUCCUACCUCCUACCUCCUACCUCUAGGCUCUAGCUCGUUACCUGUGGCCUGUGCGCAAACGAACCAUCAUCUGAGCCAUUUCUAGCUGGAAAAUCUGUUUACAACAAGAACACUGGAAUUGGCACUAGUCGAUGUGAGGAUGAUCUUUCUAUGACUAUGUCCUGGUUUUUCUAUACAUUAACCCUUUUCAGGUGGUAACUGGUAAAACGGGCAGCUUUCCUACUCAUUCAAACAAAUCAGUUUCAUCCACAAUACUAGAGCGCGCGCAAUUAAAGCAGACAAAAGUAUUUAGCAAGAGCUUGCAACUGAAUUGGAUCUUUGCAAGGAGGAUGAUGAAUUCAAGAACUCAAUGCAGUCCUCAAUAGCUUCAGCCCGCUGAGAAUCAUCAAGUGUCUCUGCAUAGGACCGUGAUCUUGCUAAAGUUAAACUAGCCGCCGAAGACACUUUGCACGAACACUUCUUCCGGCAGGAGAUGAAACGAAGAGCCUGGGCAACGUUGGCUCCAACGCGCUUUGCAAAUCUCACGGCUGAGAAUCCUGAUGACGAAGAGCUUUCGGGAACUCUGAAACUAGUCCAGGUCCCCUGAGUAGCAGCAUGGACUCUCUCCUUGCUCCCCCCGCUAACUUUAAUACUGCCGUAUCCAGAGCGUUCUUUGUUAGAGUACUGCUUCCUGAUUACCGGUUGCUUAUCGUUGACAUCAGGGCUGAAACCAACUCUCUUAUUCAUGUUCCCGAUUGACAUGGAUCGCUCGACGAGGAGAGAGAGAGAGAGAGAGAGACAGAAAGAGCAGGAAGACAGAGAAAAGGCAGUUGCUGAUUAUUUAUUGAGGAGACGGAAAAAGAAAAGGUAAGCAAGACCAAGAGAAAGAGAUGGUUCUGGGACUUCCGUUUUACACUUUUUCCCCUUUGGUCAUACCAUACUACUCUUAUGCUAGCAAUACAUCAGGCGUUGGGGGAAAUGAUCUUUUCCUACCAAUACCAUGCCCACAUGCUCGCCUUGGUUGGUUCAACCAAAUUGACCGUGGUGACCAAGAAGGCUUUCAGUUCAAGCAGAUCCUGUAAUAAUUUUCUUCUGCUCCUCCUCUUCAGUCUUCACCAGUCAUAUAAGCAAAUCACCAAUCCUGUGGUGCCCAAAUUAUGUACUCUGUAACGGAUGCAGAAGCAGAAAAAGCCACAACAUAAAGUGAAGUAGGAAUGUCUGCCGUUCACAUUUUCAGCUGUCAUGGUACGAGGCAAAUAUGAAUUAACCUGAAAAAACGUACGGGACAGUGGGACCCUGGCUUAGAGAGUUUUAAAAUGAGACCAGAACCAGAUACAUACAUACUACUGCUGUACCAAAAUUCAGCGAUUGUUUUCAGUCAAAAGGGGAGACGGAAGUGGUAGGCCCAUAUGGAGGUGGUAACUGAUACCGUGGUGAAAAAACAAAGAAAGAAAUAAACAAAAAAAAAAAAAAAAAAGGAAGAUAACUGUAAUUUUAUUGCAAAGGGUUGCUUUGUUAAACUUGAGAUUCUCGGUGACAUGUUUUUUAUGCGAAUUCAAUGCCAUCUAUAAUAUUACGCCAAGUGUCAUGUUAUUAUUUACACCUGUAUUAAACCAAACUAAGUUGAAUUAUUAGAAAAUUAAAUGAUAAAUAAUAACAAGACAUUUGGUGCAAUACUGUAGAUGAUAUUGAAUUGGUAUAGAAAACAUGUCACCGAGGAUCCAAGUGACUUUGUCGUUUCGUAUUUUAGUUAAUUGGGUUUGGACAUCAUCGCUCAUAAAAGGAUAACUAUAAUUUAGUUAAACUAUAAGGUUCGUUCUAUAACUUGAUCAAACCUCGAGAAGAAGAAAAGACCUUUUAGCCAAGUUGAGGGGAAUGGGGAGUCACGGCGGCUGAAAUUAUAAUGGCGCGGCGAAGACGGCAGCUAAAAACUAUAAAGUAGGCUAAUUGAUUGUUAACGUUGGCGUUGGGUUUGGACUUUCCAACCACCCCGACCCGUCUUCACAACCGCCCUAAUUUAAGCUUAGGAAAUCAAUCCCCCUUCCCUCCGUCUCUAUGGUAUCUAUACUUGUAUUUUUCUCAAAUUCUCAAUAACAAAUACUACCAUUAUUCUGACCAAUGUAAUAAUUCUUCCUCCCUCCACUCCUGGCUUGCCUUCUCAGCCACACAAAAUUUUGGUGGUAAAGACCACUCCGCAAAUACUUAACGUGUAGACUAGUAGCAGCUAUGCUUCAUAUUCGUGUCCCUCCCCACUUUCUCCUUUCUUUUUAAACCCCCCCGGUCUCCCUCCUCUUCACCUCCUCCCACGGCAUCUAUUUGUACAUAGCGAUAGAAAAAAACAGCAAGAAACUUGGAACACAUAUAUGUAGUACAACUACUAAGAUCCCACUCCAUCCAUCUCAUCGUAAUUACACUGUCAUAUACAUAUCCUCUCCCACGCUCUGAUCAAUGGGUGCUCAUCCGCACUUUGAACCAAUCUCGAAAUGUAGCUCGGAGGGACGGUCGAAUCAGACCGUGGCAGCAGACCUAGAUGGCACCCUUUUGGUAUCCACAAGUGCUUUUCCCUACUACAUGCUUGUUGCUUUGGAAGCCGGCAGCCUUCCAAGGGCAUUACUCCUCCUGGCCUCUGUUCCCUUUGUGUACUUCACGUACAUUUUCCUAUCCGAAUCUAUAGCCAUCCAUACUUGGGCAUACAUCGCCCUUGCUGGACUCAAACUGCGGGAUAUCGAACUCGUUUCGAAGUCCGUAUUGCCCAAGUUUUAUGCGGAAGAUGUUCACCCCGAGACCUGGAGGGUGUUCAAUGCUUUUGGAAGGAGAUACAUUAUAACCGCAACUCCCAGAAUCAUGGUGGAACCUUUUGCCAAGAAUUUCCUUGGGGCCGACAAGGUUCUGGGGACAGAGCUGCAAGUGUCAAAAUCUGGACGUGCUACGGGAUUCUUGAAGAAGCCUGGUGUCCUUGUCGGCGAACGCAAGAAAGCAGCACUCAUUCAAGAGUUUGGUACUGACGUGCCUGAUUUAGGUCUAGGAGAUCGAGAGACAGACCAUGAUUUCAUGUCCAUAUGCAAGGUAAACUUCAACUUCUUUUUUCUUUUUUUUUUCCCGAUACUUUGAUUGUUUUUUUUUUAAUAUAUAUACACAUACAUAAUUCCCUCCUCAUGAGCGUCCAUGCCUUUGCUUAUCGAUUCACUUUUUCUGUAGCUGAAGGCAACAGUUUUAUACGGGGUUGGUUUCUACUGUUAUUUGUUCCUAUAUCAUGAUUAACUGCAAUAUCUAUUUCGUAUGGAUCAGUUUUUUUUUUUUCCUUGUCUCGUUUGCCAUUGUAAUUUUUUUUAAAAAUUUUUAUUGUCCUUGUAGUUAGCAUUCUCGUCUCAUAUUACUUGAAAAUCCUAGAGUUUCUUCUAUAAAAUCCUGAAAAUUUGUAAAAGCGUGAAAUUUGUAUUUCAAGGAGAAGGUGAACACACACCCGAGACUCUGCACGGUACACAUCCACCCACCAUGCAUCUUUUGGAAAAGUAGUAAACCUAUACUCCCGUAAAGCUAUGGUUGCAGUAAAGAUGAUCAACCUCUUUAAUUUUAAGAAUUCCUACAUUUGUGUCUAUUACGUACUCAUGCAUGCCAUCAUCUUUAAUUGUUUUUGUAGAUGAACUCAAAUAUUAAAUACUAAUGGGAGAUGCACGCGCCUUAUGAGUAUGCAAAUUCAGUUAAAAAAAUUAAGUUUUUUUAUUCAAACAAAUGAAAGUUUAUUAGAAUUUUUUUUGUUGUAAAAACAAAAAAAAAAGAAGUUAUUGAAAAUAGUGGAAGUUAUGGAGUUUAGAAGUUAUCGAUCUUUAGUAUAUUUUUAUUUUUUAUGAGAGUAAAAUAAAGAAAUAAAAAAAUAUUUUAACACCAAAAUCAUGCCUCAUACUUUAUAUAUACUAGUGGGUGAGGCAUAUGAGUGUGCAUAUUUUAGGAAAAAUAUAAAUAACGAAGGCAUCAAGCAAUUGUAUUGACAUGGGAAGAGGACAGCGUGGCUCUAAGUUUUUAAUUGUAACUAUUAUUGCAACCAUUUUUAAUUGUACCUAUUACUGCGACCAUUUAAAAAAAAAAAAAAAGGACAUGGGCCCUUCAUUUUCUCAAUAAAUAGCACGUUCCAGGAAGGUCCAAUCUGGCAAGAGUCAAUGCUAUUCAUUGCUUGGACGCUACUAAGUACCAGAGUAGAUAUGAUAUCCGCUUCUGAUUAGAAUGUUACAGCUGCCGGCGCUGUACUCUCGUAACAAACUCCCCUGUCUUAUCUCAAAUAAAAUUCAUGAAAAAAUAAAACUUGGAAGAAUAAUAAAUGCAAUAUUUGGUGAUAGGCAGUUCUUCUUCUUCAUCUUUUUUUUUGGCUCUUGGGUGACAGGCAGUUUUCCAUGCAGAUACUGACAUAUAUGCAUAAAGAUUUUUCUUUUUUUUUUGGGGGGUUUUGCAUGAAGAAUUACAUCUGUACUGAUCGUGCAGGAAGGUUACAUGGUACCAGGAGCAAAAUGCGAACCCCUGCCAAGAAAUAAGCUGCUAAGCCCAGUCAUUUUUCACGAAGGUCGUCUGGUACAAAGGCCUACACCUCUUGUGGCCCUGUUGACCUUCUUGUGGAUGCCGAUUGGGAUUGUCCUCUCCAUCCUUCGCGUUUACCUCAACAUUCCCCUGCCCGAAAGAAUUGUUCGGUACAACUACAUGAUUCUGGGAAUCAAACUCGUUGUGAAGGGCAACCCACCCCCACCUCCGAAGGAAGGCAAUAGCGGGGUCCUAUUCGUCUGCAACCACCGCACGAUCCUGGACCCCGUUGUUACGGCGGUGGCACUGAGAAGGAAGAUCAGUUGCGUGACAUACAGCAUAAGUAAAUUCUCAGAACUCAUUUCACCGAUCAAAGCCGUGGCAUUAUCUCGAGAACGAGAAAAGGAUGCAGAGAACAUCAAGCGUUUGCUUCAAGAAGGUGACUUGGUUAUCUGCCCCGAGGGGACUACGUGCAGGGAGCCAUUUCUGUUGAGAUUUAGCGCACUCUUUGCCGAGCUGACAGACAGAAUUGUCCCCGUCGCCAUUAACACGAAACAGUCCGUAUUUUAUGGGACAACUGUGCGUGGGCACAAGUUUUUGGAUCCGUACUUCGUUUUCAUGAAUCCCAGGCCCACCUACGAGAUCGCCUUCUUGAAUCAACUGCCCCCGGAACUGACUCGCCGAGGUGGUGGAAAAUCUGCUAUUGAAGUUGCCAACUACAUCCAAAGGGUGCUCGCCGGCACGCUAGGCUUCGAGUGCACUAGCUUGACCAGGAAAGACAAGUAUGCCAUGAUGGCCGGAACAGAUGGCCGUGUUGAAAACAAGAAGGACAAUUCCCAUGAAAUGAAAUGAGCAGUCCUGAGUCCUCCAUUUGUUUCCCCAAGUAGUAUAAUGUUUUCGAACCUUUUUCGUCGUAUUCAAGCAAAAGAGGGGAAAAGAAAAACGAGAACAAAAUAAUUGUUGAUCGUUAUGAUUAAGAUCUUCAUAUGGUAUAACGCACCACGUAUAUGCUA
rnacentral:lncRNA from 1 species